AUGUGGGUGGCUGAGAAGGGCACUAGGGUGGGGGUGGCUGGAGGAAUUUUAAGUGCUGUGAUGAAAUGGGCACCCUUCUCUGCCCUCCAUCGCCAAGCCCUACACCUCUGCGAAGACUGUGACACACAAAGUCCUGUGUCAACGGUCUGUGCCCGCAGAGAGAGCCUGCUCCAGCCUCUUUGCUACAGCCUUGAGUCUUCUGCUGUAAGUUUUCAUUCUUUACCUUUUUUUUUUAAUGAAAAACUUAUGGUUAAUUAUUGUAGUGCAUUUGGGUUUGUGUGUGCAUGCAUAUGAAUGUGUAUCAUGUUCUCCAGGGGUUUCCUGGAAAACCCUUUAAAGCCUCUGUCUAUCUCAGACAGGACAAGAGGAAGAGGAGGGCUCGGACGCUGUGGCACAGAGGGCUGGUUUCCUCCCAAUGUACAUUUCCCUUGCUUCCAUGUCAUACACGUGUUUAUCUGUGCUCGUGGCUGCCCUGAAUAAGAACUGUAUUUCCAGCUUUCUGGAAGCCAGGUGUGGUCAUGUGACUAAGUUGUAGCCAAUAGCCUGUGGGGAGUAGUGAGGUGUGCAACAACUGGCCAGAGCUGUUAAAGGGAAACGCUGUGUUCUUCCUUCUGUGUUCCCCCUUCCUUGGCUGGAAUUGCCUGUGGCAGUGCUCUACUUUUCCUUUUUCUUUUCCUUUUGGUUUUUGUCUCACUCUGUUGCCCAGGCUAGGGUGCAGUGGUGCAAUCUCAGUUCACUGCAACCUCUGCCUCCUGGGCUCAAGCCAUCUUUCCAUCUCAGCCUCCAGAGUGGCUGGAACUACAGCUGCAUGCCACCAUGCCAAGCUAAUAUUAUUAAAUUUUAAAAUAUUUAUUAUUUUGAGAUGGAGUCUCACUCUGUUGCCCAGGCUGGAGUGCAGUGGCACGAUCUUGGCUCACUGCAACCUCUGCCUCCUGGGUUCAAGCGAUUCUUCUGCUUCAGCCUCCUGAGUAGCUGGGAUUACAGACAUGUACCUCCAUACCCAGAUA
rnacentral:lncRNA from 1 species